rnacentral:rRNA from 1 species
UACAGAGGUCUCAAGCGUUGUUCGGAUUCAUUGGGCGUAAAGGGUGCGCAGGCGGCGCGGUAAGUCGGGUGUGAAAUCUCGGAGCUUAACUCCGAAACUGCAUUCGAUACUGCCGUGCUUGAGGACUGGAGAGGAGACUGGAAUUUACGGUGUAGCGGUGAAAUGCGUAGAUAUCGUAAGGAAGACCAGUGGCGAAGGCGGGUCUCUGGGCCGAUACUGACGCUGAGGAGCGAAAGCGUGGGGAGCGAACAGG